rnacentral:rRNA from 1 species
UGGGGAAUUUUGGACAAUGGGGGGCAACCCUGAUCCAGCAAUGCCGCGUGUGUGAAGAAGGCCUUCGGGUUGUAAAGCACUUUUGUCCGGAAAGAAAACGCCGUGGUUAAUACCCGUGGCGGAUGACGGUACCGGAAGAAUAAGCACCGGCUAACUACGUGCCAGCAGCCGCGGUAAUACGUAGGGUGCAAGCGUUAAUCGGAAUUACUGGGCGUAAAGCGUGCGCAGGCGGUCCGCUAAGACAGAUGUGAAAUCCCCGGGCUUAACCUGGGAACUGCAUUUGUGACUGGCGGGCUAGAGUAUGGCAGAGGGGGGUUAGAAUUCCACGUGUAGCAGUGAAAUGCGUAGAGAUGUGGAGGAAUACCGAUGGCGAAGGCAGCCCCCUGGGCCAAUACUGACGCUCAUGCACGAAAAGCGUGGGGGAGCAAACAGGAUUAGAUACCCUGGUAGUCCACGCCCUAAACGAUGUCAACUAGUUGUCGGGUCUUCAUUGACUUGGUACGUAGCUAACGCGUGAAGUUGACCGCCUGGGGAGUACGGUCGCAAGAUUAAAAACUU